GCAGAAUUAGACUCUGAAUGGGGAAAUACCUGUUACUCCAUUGCCAAGAUUUUUAUGGAAAUAACUAGUUUGUUUACAGGACCUGGGCCAUAGCAGAUCUGUACCUUGACUCACAAAAAUCUGCAUGAAUUGCAUACAUUGUUAAAUCAGGGGGCUGAUCAUUUUGAUUAUAGACAAAAUCUUUUAAAAAAGGCACAGGUUGUUUUUAAGGGUGAUGAAC